UUGAUACAACGGUCUUGGAGUCCUCUUUGGAGUUGAUUCCUCGACCUUACCUACCCCAUGUGCACUGUAAUGUUUUUGGGACUUGCUGAUGUAUUGUUGCUAUUCUAGCAGCAGUAAUAGACGGUCCCAGCAGUAUAUAAACUCUAUUUAUAAUUUGUCUGAAAUGAACCAAAGAAUCGUAA
rnacentral:misc_RNA from 1 species